rnacentral:rRNA from 1 species
CCGCCCGUCACACCAUGGGAGUUGGCUGCACCAGAAGCUGGGGCGCUGACCGCAAGGAAACAGCCGACCACGGUGGGGUCAGUGACUGGCACU